GGUGGGCUCCGGUCUAAGUUCCUGGAACAGGACGUCAUAGAGGGUGAGAAUCCCGUACGUGACUGGUUGCCUUCGCCCGUGUAAAGCUCUUUCGACGAGUCGAGUUGUUUGGGAAUGCAGCUCAAAAUGGGUGGUAAAUUUCAUCUAAAGCUAAAUAUUGGCCAGAGACCGAUAGCGCACAAGUAGAGUGAUCGAAAGAUGAAAAGCACUUUGGAAAGAGAGUUAAACAGUACGUGAAAUUGUUGAAAGGGAAGCGCUUGCAACCAGACUUGCACGCGGCUGAUCAUCCGGGGUUCUCCCCGGUGCACUCGGUCGUGUUCAGGCCAGCAUCGUUUUUGGCGGGCGGAUAAAGGCCUUGGGAAUGUAGCUUCUUUCGGGGAGUGUUAUAGCCCUCGGUGCAAUGCGCCCUGCCGGGAACGAGGACCGCGCUUCGGCUAGGAUGCUGGCGUAAUGGUUGUAAGCGACCCGUCUUGAAACACGGACCAAGGAGUCUAACAUCUAUGCGAGUGUUUGGGUGUCAAACCCAUACGCGUAAUGAAAGUGAACGGAGGUGAGAACCCUUAAGGGUGCAUCAUCGACCGAUCCUGAUGUCUUCGGAUGGAUUUGAGUAAGAGCAUAGCUGUUGGGACCCGAAAGAUGGUGAACUAUGCCUGAAUAGGGUGAAGCCAGAGGAAACUCUGGUGGAGGCUCGCAGCGGUUCUGACGUGCAAAUCGAUCGUCAAAUUUGGGUAUAGGGGCGAAAGACUAAUCGAACCAUCUAGUAGCUGGUUCCUGCCGAAGUUUCCCUCAGGAUAGCAGUGUUGAAUUCAGUUUUAUGAGGUAAAGC
rnacentral:rRNA from 1 species